rnacentral:sRNA from 1 species
GAGAAUGUGAUCGACGGCAGCGACGCUGUCAAACAAGGUCUUGCCAAAAGAGGCGUCGCUUUCACAUACGCUAUGAUCGAGGGCUGUCCGAAACAAUUGGGUUGCACAGUGGUGCUGCGGGGUGCCUCCC